GAUGAACGCUGGCGGCGUGCCUAAUACAUGCAAGUCGAGCGAACAGACGAGGAGCUUGCUCCUCUGACGUUAGCGGCGGACGGGUGAGUAACACGUGGAUAACCUACCUAUAAGACUGGGAUAACUUCGGGAAACCGGAGCUAAUACCGGAUAAUAUAUUGAACAGCAUGGUUCAAUAGUGAAAGACGGUUUUGCUGUCACGUAUAGCUGGAUCCGCGCCGCAUUAGCUAGUUGGUAAGGUAACGGCUUACCAAGGCAACGAUGCGUGGCCGACCUGAGAGGGUGAACGGCCACACUUGAGCUGAGGCACGGUCCAGACUACUACGGGAGGCAGCAGUAGGGAAUCUUCCGCAAUGGGCGAAAGCCUGACGGAGCAACGCCGCGUGAGUGAUGAAGGUCUUCGGAUCGUAAAACUCUGUUAUUAGGGAAGAACAAAUGUGUAAGUAACUAUGCACGUCUUGACGGUACCUAAUCAGAAAGCCACGGCUAACUACGUGCCAGCCGCCGCCGUAA
rnacentral:rRNA from 1 species